rnacentral:rRNA from 1 species
UACAGAGGUCUCAACCGUUGUUCGGAUUCAUUGGGCGUAAAGGGUGCGUAGGCGGUCGUGCAAGUCGGAUGUGAAAUCUCAGGGCUCAACCCUGAAACUGCAUUCGAUACUGCGCGGCUAGAGUGCUGGAGGGGAGACUGGAAUUUACGGUGUAGCAGUGAAAUGCGUAGAUAUCGUAAGGAAGACCAGUGGCGAAGGCGGCUCACUGGCUCGGUACUGACGCUGAGGUGCGAAAGCGUGGGGAGCAAACAGG